rnacentral:rRNA from 2 species
UCAUACCAGCGCUACA